GUCGAGAAUCUUUCACAAUGGGGGCAACCCUGAUGGAGCGACGCCGCGUGGAGGAUAAGGUCUUCGGAUUGUAAACUCCUGUCAUGCGUGAACAAGGUUGCUUGGUUAAUACCUGGGCAAAUUGAUGGUAACGCAAGAGGAAGAGACGGCUAACUCUGUGCCAGCAGCCGCGGUAAUACAGAGGUCUCAAGCGUUGUUCGGAAUCACUGGGCGUAAAGGGUGCGUAGGUGGCGUGGUAAGUCAGAUGUGAAAGCCCGGGGCUCAACCGCGGAACUGCAUCCGAUACUGCCAUGCUAGAGUACUGGAGAGGUGACUAGAAUUCUCGGUGUAGCAGUGAAAUGCGUAGAUAUCGAGAGGAAUACCAAAGGCGUAGGCAGGUCACUGGACAGUUACUGACACUGAGGCACGAAGGCCAGGGGAGCGAACGGGAUUAGAAACCCUUGUAGUCC
rnacentral:rRNA from 1 species